AGGAUCAGCUGCCUAGCUUGCGCAUGGGUUGGCUUAGGCAAGGAGCAAGUUGUAACCAAAGCUAGCUACAUAAUUUGUGAGGCUCAGUGCAAAAUGAAAAUGUGGAGCCUCAAGGUUAAAAAGCAAGAAAAAAGGUGCUGUUAUAGAUAAAGCUUUUUUCUUUCUUCUUCAGUCUCUCUCCCAGCAUGUCAUAGUGUUUUUCAUUUGUUAUUCAACGUCAUUCUAAGAAAAAUGAAAGUUUUCAAUUAUUAGCAUGAAUUUUAUAGUUUAUCUUUACAUUGUGCAAGGCAAAUAUAAAUGCAAAUAUAAAAACACUUAAUGUGUAUGUGGAAUCACUGAACUUAUACAAUUUGCAUUUUGCAGCCCCUCCCUAAAAGGUGCCUUGAACUGUCCAGAAGAGACAAACCGAAGCCCGGCACUGGAAGGGAGGAAAAGAGAGAUGACCCUCUCCCCGCAACAAGGUCAUCAGAGAGCUGGAAGCCAAGUGUCCUCCUCCACGUUCUUUCUACUGUGCCACGUGGCUUGUGUUGAUACAGACCCUUGGGCUGGACCAAUCCUGGAAGAUCAAGAGCUGACUGGUGAGCCCAGGGUGAAAGUGGUGGGGGUAGGGUGAGAGGCGCAAUGCUCUGGGAUUUGUAGAAAAGUCAGGGUGGAGCCAGCACCCCUUUCUGUACCCUCCACUCACAUAGCACUAUGAUCCUAUAGGAGGCCCGGGGGAAGAAAGGGCUGCACAGAGUCAGCACAGAGAGG
rnacentral:lncRNA from 1 species